GCGCCGAUGGUUUAGCGGUAAAAUCCGUCGUUGCCAAGACCCUCUAGGCCUUCAAAAGCCUGGAAUCUCAAAGUCGACGGGCCCCCGGUUCGACUCCGGGUCGGCGCA